rnacentral:lncRNA from 1 species
AAGUUCUCGUGUAAUUUUAAUGAGAAAAGAUUUAAAAUAAAAAAACAUGGUAAAGUGAAAUAUUAAAUAUGAUAAAGAAUUAGGAUGGAAUACUAUCGAUAGCACAAAACUAUUGGUGCUAUUAGGUUUUCGACUCUUAGAUGAAAAAAUAUACGAUUAGAAUGAUGUGGGCCCUCUAGAAUUGAAUGAGUUAUUAGUUUAGUAUUAUAAUUUAGAGAUAAAUUCAAAAACCCCCCUAUGGUUUUGUAGUUUCUCACUUUGUUCCCCUGUGGUUUACAAUGCAUCAAUUUGCACCCCCGUGGUUUCUUUUUUCUCUUUUUCUUAUCAAUUUUAUUAUUUUUUUUCUUAAAUCAGUGAUAAAAUUAAAAUUAAAGGGUACUAAAGUGAAUAUUUGAUAAAUCUUGAUGGGUAUCUGAAGUUUUUUUGUAUACAAUUUAAUAAAAUAUUAACGAAAAAGCUACCGAAAAGAUAAAAACGAAACCACAUGGGGGCAAUUUGAUACAUUUUAAACUACAGGGGGACAAAGUGAGAAACUACGAAACCACAGGGGGGGUUUUUGAAGUUUUUCCUAUAAUUUAACGAGUGAAAAUUGUCAAAAGGUUAAAUCUAACGGCGGAAACUCGAUAGCAGCAAUCGCUUGGUGCUUCGAUAGUAUCCCAGCCGAACUCUAGGAUAAAUUAAAUUAGUGAAUGUGAUUUGCAUAUUAAUU